rnacentral:rRNA from 1 species
UACGUAGGUGGCAAGCGUUGUCCGGAUUUACUGGGCGUAAAGAGCGCGCAGGCGGUCGUUCAAGUCGCGUGUGAAAGCUCCCGGCUCAACUGGGGAGGGUCACGCGAUACUGAUCGACUCGAAGGCAGGAGAGGGAAGUGGAAUUCCCGGUGUAGUGGUGAAAUGCGUAGAUAUCGGGAGGAACACCAGUGGCGAAGGCGACCUCCUGGCCUGUUCUUGACGCUGAGGCGCGAAAGCUAGGGGAGCAAACGGG